rnacentral:rRNA from 1 species
ACGGCCCAAACUCCUACGGGAGGCAGCAGUGGGGAAUAUUGCACAAUGGGGGAAACCCUGAUGCAGCGACGCCGCGUGAGUGAAGAAGUAUUUCGGUAUGUAAAGCUCUAUCAGCAGGGAAGAAAAUGACGGUACCUGACUAAGCCCCGGCUAACUACGUGCGGGCAGCCGCGGUAAUACGUAGGGGGCAAGCGUUAUCCGGAUUUACUGGGUGUAAAGGGAGCGCAGGUGGCGUGGCAAGUCAGAAGUGAAAGCGG